UACGUAGGGUGCAAGCGUUAAUCGGAAUUACUGGGCGUAAAGCGUGCGCAGGCGGUUCGCUAAGACAGAUGUGAAAUCCCCGGGCUUAACCUGGGAACUGCAUUUGUGACUGGCGGGCUAGAGUAUGGCAGAGGGGGGUAGAAUUCCACGUGUAGCAGUGAAAUGCGCGAGAUGUGGAGGAAUACCGAUGGCGAAGGCAGCCCCCUGGGCCAAUACUGACGCUCCAUGCACGAAAGCGUGGGGAGCAAACAGG
rnacentral:rRNA from 1 species